rnacentral:rRNA from 1 species
GACGAACCGAGCGAACGUUGUUCGGAAUCACUGGGCUUAAAGGGCGCGUAGGCGGGCUGUCAAGUCUUGUGUGAAAUCCCUCGGCUCAACUGAGGAACUGCACGGGAUACUGGAAGACUUGAGUUCGGGAGAGGGAAGCGGAAUUCCGGGUGUAGCGGUGAAAUGCGUAGAUAGUCCGGAGGAACACCGGUGGCGAAGGCGGCUUCCUGGACCGAUUACUGACGCUGAUGCGCGAAAGCUAGGGGAGCGAACGGG